CUGGUUCUGCUUUUCCUUUGUAGAUUCACAUGGUGCAGAUCUGACAGAAAAACAAGCUGCAGAACCAGGGGAACAAACUGAAGAAGAGGAGACACGGAAACCACUGCUGAGGAGUCAGUAUGAACAGACACAAAAACCAUUUGAAGAAUCAGACUGAGAGAUGAACUGCAUGGCGC